GGUCGCCUGGCGCAGUUGGUAGCGCGUGAGAUUCCAGCGAUUCUUGUGAUCAAACACGUAGAAUUUGGUUCCUCAAGGUCAUCCGUUCAAGUCGGGUGGCGAUCA